rnacentral:lncRNA from 1 species
ACGGCCCCACGCUGGCCGGCGGCACCCCCGAGUGCAUCUCCAACUACAUGGACGCGCAAUACUACGGCGCGGUGUCCAUCGGCACCCCUCCCCAGUCCUUCCUCGUCGUCUUCGACACCGGCAGCAGCAACCUGUGGAUCCCGAGCGCGAAGUGCUCGUUCCUCCAGAUCCCGUGCGACUUGCACCAAAAGUAUAGAUCCGGCGACUCGAGCACGUACAAAGCCCUGGGCGAUCCGUUCGCCAUCCAGUACGGCAGCGGGUCGCUCUCGGGGUUCCUCUCCCAGGACACCGUGACGUGGGCGGGCCUCGAGAUCAAGGACCAGGUGUUUGCGGAGGCCACCAAGGAACCCGGCAUCGCGUUUCUGUUUUCCAAGUUCGACGGCAUCCUCGGCAUGGGCUGGGACACCAUCUCCGUCAACGGAGUCAAACCCCCGUUCUACAACGCCGUGGACCAGGGCCUCGUCGUCG